rnacentral:lncRNA from 1 species
GAUUUAUUUAAGAUUACAUCCGGGCCUCACUUUACGUAGGACGCCAUCGAUCCCUACAUUCAACCACCCAAUAGCGGUGCUCCUUGCAUCCAGAUGUGUGAAACGGACGACCUAACAUGGAAGUAAGUCGCUAUCACUGAUAGGCUGCCCGAUCGAUGGCACCGGCCCCUGGGCUUGCUGUCUAACCAUGCCCCAUGGUUGCAUGAUGACUUAUCCAAGUUGGCCACAUCCCGCAUCCGACAUGUCGCCACUGUCUCUCCUUCGUUUUUUCUUUAUAAUAUGUAGAUGGUGAAUCAUCAUUUGUGCCGCCAUUAUUUUUUUACAGUUGUUUUGUUCGUACCUUUGAAACCGACGAAGUCCAGAAUGGAACAAAUACAACAAGGAAGAUAUUUUGCUAGAGACGAAACAUGUGCACUUCAGUUCUGUUGAGAGAGAUGUAAGACGGCUACACAUUUGUUUGGGGUAACUUUCUUUUGUUAACAUGAAUUUAGUUAAUUGUUAGUAGAUAUGUUCAUAGGCUUUGAGGCCACAACUAACAGACUGAAGUCCUUGCUGAAUUAUGGAUCUUAUGGGAAGUAGCGAGAGUGUGAGACUAUGAUUUCGCCGUGGAGGCGUCACCUAACAAAUCUGCAUCCCAGGUAUAGUUUCUGAUCCUGAUGUCUUAAAAUACAUUUCUAUAGUUCUUAAUACAGUAAUACUUAACGACAUUUGUAUGGAAUGAAUGUUGUUGUGACUAAAUUCCGUGUGCAAGACCUAUCAGUUAGCAUGCUAGAAUAAAAGCUCUGAAUGAUCUAACUUCUGCAACUACCAAAUGUUGUUUCUGCACAUAGGUCAUGGAUUUCCCCUAUUGAUAUUGUACAUGCAAUUGGCUUCAAAUAUUUCAGUAAAAUCUCAUGAUGACAUCAAUAUAUAGACUUGUGCGAUAUGUGUGCAUCAAUUAUUUUGACCCAAGACAUUAUUCCAGAAAGCACAAGAUAUUACUUUAUCCAGUCUAUCCAGUCUAUUCCAGAAAGCACAAGGGCUUGUUGAUCUUUCUUUUCUAGAGUGUUUUUGUUAUGAACUCUUUCGUGAAUUUGGAGUAUCUUUUUUAUUUCUAGAACUUCUUACUGACUCUUUUCCAUUGUAUAGUAGGUUGUGAAGAAUGGGAGAUGCUGAUUUGGAAGAAGAAACAAUCAUCAAACAUGUAUAUAUAUACUGCUACUAUAGUAUUUAUACCUUGCAAGAAAAGAAAGCUGAUAAUUUCGAUGUAAACUAUGACAUUGUGGUUUACAAAUAAAUAAAAUGUUUCAUGUGUAUAUUUUCUGCACUAUGCUAAAUUCAUAUCAGAGACUUUCUA